CACCAAGUGCUUUCCGCUUUGCUUCAGAAAAGAGCAAACUAGUUCCCUGAGGGAUAUUUUUCUACUCAGUAGAAUCCAGCAUCGCCUCCACGGGCACUUCUCUAUUCUCCUUGACCCACAGGAAUGUUUUUGACCUUGCCUGUGUAACUACACAACCAUAUAUAGAAAACAAUAAAAUAAAACCCACCACAACUCCCUUCAUCGUAAUCCUUCGAACACUCUUCUCAGGCAGGAAAAAGGGCAGAGGACCAAAGAACAUGCACAUAGGGCCUUUACUACUGAAAAAUGAAGGUGGGUGUAAGAACUCUGAUGAACCUGUUUGGACAACAGACAGCAAAAAAAUACCUGUCUCGGUGGAGGAGUUUAAGAGCACUGCAGAGAUCAUCAGACAGUGCAGAAUAUCUUGGCUCACACAGGCCAUUCUCUUUAUCUCAAAACAAUACCAGCCAAGCUCCUCUGUACCUAAAACUGAAGAGCUGCGGGAGCAGAAGGACAGUAGCUAAUACAGCUUUUAAAUGUGAAUCUCCUUAUCUUACUAAGAAAAAUAAAAAGAAAAAAAGAAAAAUAAAGAUAAAUACAUGAAUUCAAAGCAAGAUAAGAUAUCUGAUUCCAAGGAAGAAAGCUAUCCACAGCAGGUUGAAGCUACAGGGGCAGUCCUGACUUGUUUUUCUCCAUCAAGCUACUUUACUUCAGAAAGUGGACCUUCAAAAACAGCAAUUCCCAUGGAUCAGUGCUUAAAACGAUGUCAGGGUCUUGCUGAGCUGUUGUUGACCCCCUGGGCAGCAAGGUCUUGCCGAGCAGGACUGCAGUGAACCUCUCCCCAUGUCUCGGGGGAGCCCGGUGCUGAGUGUGGAAAACCCUCCGGGGGCCCAUAACACAGUGGAUGAUUGAUUGUAUCCGCCAGCUGGCUAAUAUCAUAAUUAACAAAGUUGCUACCAUGUCUGAGAAGUUUAAUCGAAAAAAUUGCCGGCAGUAUGAUGCCAUUGUCACAGAGAUCAGAAGCGCUGCAGUGUUGACUUUUGUACUGGUGGAGCCGCAGGACUAUGUAGAUGUGCUGAAAAGUCUUUCACUAGGAUAACUAAAGUGAGAUGUGAUUGCAGACAGCGCACUGGGCUGUGGUAGAACUGACCAGUGGCACCUUGCCUUUGCUCUGCUCAUUCCCGCCGGAGCAGCUCUGCCACGGGGACGCUGAACUUGGGAGCAGCUGCCUGCAAUGGACCUUCACAUGCAGGAAUGUCGGCAGGAGCGUGUGGAAGCACAUCAGCCAGGUUUAGCUGGUGGAUCAUAUUGUGAAAUCUGCAGCCAUGAAAGGCCCUCCAUUUACUGCACCCUUCAAAACGAAAUGUUAGCAUGGGAGGCUAAGCUGGAGGCUAAUAACGAAGGAGUCAGUGAAGGAGACCGAUGCCACGAGGGUUAUCUCACAGCCCCAGAUGCUGGAUAAGUUGAAGGAAGCAGAAUCGCUUUUGGAUGACAUUCAGGAAGGCCUUGAAUGAUUAUCUGGUGAAAAAAAGACUGUUCUUUCCAAGGUUUUUUUUUUUAUCUCUCAAUGCAGCAAUGAUCUCUCAGGAAUCCUUUUUGAGACAAAGGAUCACUCCACAUCCAACCACACCUAAGGAAAUGCUUUGAAGGAAUUGAGCAGCUCACUUUUAAUCACAAGAGAGAAAUUACCCACAUGGAGUCAGCAGAAAAUGAAAAAGUAGAGCUCGUGCUGUGAAUAAUUCCAGCAAGUGCCAAGGGGCUAGUUGAGAAAUGACUUCAUGAGGGAUUUCUCAGUAAAGAUUUCACCUGUGCCAUGCAGAAAAGCUGCCACCCAAGGGAUCCUUCUCAAUACCUGUCAGGAAGAGGAAGCCUGGAGGAGGGACUGCGCUGGACACAGAAGCAAAUUGAGGCAAAACUUUAGCACACAUCACACCUUUUGGCUGUUCAGGUUGCUUCAGGCUCCAAAUCCAGUCCUUCUUUAGGAUGGUACUCAGGUGGCUUAAACUGCAUCAGCA